CAGCAGCCUUGCUCUCUAUAGUAAACAACCGACUGAGAGCACCAUGGAGGUUAUGUACAAAGCCACUUACCCCUGUGACAAACUGUCUCGCCCUCCUGCAGGUAGGUUCUCUUGUUAAUGGUGUUUACAGAGCACAGAGCUUUAAUAUAGGGCUGUAACAGCAGUCAAUCUAUUGCAGAUAUUAACAGGGUAAUAGGAUAAUAUACAAUAUAUCUGCUCCUAGAAGGGGGAGUGAUGCUCAGGGUAACUGUUCUAACAGAGGGUGACUAUGGGCUUUUAUUCAUGGUACAGGCAGAAUUAUGACUAGGAAGCUCCUAACAAGUCAGCUCUGCCAUUAAUCUCUGACUUCCCCUCUGCAGUAUAUGUAGGUAUGCUGGGGGGGGCACUUUUCGUGUACUUACCACCAGUAUGAACACAUGGUAUGUCCAAUAAAAGGCACAUCUGGCAACGCUAGAUCUUAAGUGAUUGAUUUUUGAAAAGCUAAACUUUUGUGGCUUUUUUUUUUUUUUUUUUUCACCCAAAACUGUGGCAAUACUGAUCUGGGGUGACAUUAUUUAGAAUGCUAAACCUAUUAACCCCUUAAUGACACAUGUCAUGAUUCCCUUUUAUUCCAGAAGCUUGGUCCUUAAGGGGUUAAACGUUAUACUUGGCUCCUGCCUUGUCCGCUAGUUGGGUAUGUUGCGUAAUAUCCUAGCAUCACAUGAUGGCUCAUUUAAUACCUGAGAUGGACAGAAUGUUGUCUCUGCAGAAUCUCUCGAGUUCUAAUUGGCCAACAUGCUUCCUUACACAAGGAUAGGCUGGGUGUUAAAGGGACACUUCAGGCACCACAACAACUUGCAUCAGUUGUCUUACAAAAUCUCAGAGGGAAGCACCCUCUGUCUUUACGUACAUGAGUGUGUACCAUACAGGUCUUUCUGAGUAAAUAUCAAUAAGAGCCUGUGAAAACUGACUUAGAGCUUCGUUUUAAGGAUUUUCAACUGAGUGUGUGCAGAAAGUCCAGGGCUGCCUAAUAAGCCACUCGACUAACAGAGCAGAAGAUGUAAAUGUAUCUUGUAUAAAACAAAUAUAGUACUUUUCAAAUUUGUCUGCUCCAUUCUGUGAUUAUGUAUCCAUUUCUUGGGUAGUAUUUUGUAGCUCCAAGUAUUGUGAGGUUGGUCUUAAGGUAGCACAGAGACCUAAUGUUCUGGGCAGCCUAAUAUUGAUGGGCUACUGAGAGCCAUAAAUAGCUGCUGGCUGUGAGUUACUCCCCUCAAUCUCCAUGGACAGGAUGGAUCUCUAUGCUGCAAUAAAUUGUUUAAAUUCCACAACCACAGGAAUGGUUAUGUACAAUCUCUGCAAUUGCAGUUUGUUGAAAAAUCUAACUUUUUUUUUUUUUUUUUUAUUAAAAUGUAAUGUAAAAGGGUUUCCUACUCUCCUUGUAAUAAAUUGUGUAAUUUAUAUAUUUUAGUACUUGUCUUGGGCUGUAUUGUAGAUGUGUCUAAUGCAUCUGUUUUAUAUAAACAGACACUUUGAUCUUUAUUGCUUUGAGUGACUGUAUUGGUGGUGUGAUCUUCAAUAAGAGGACUGACAGAACUCCUGUACUCUAACUGAGAACCUCUGCCAAGUUAACUUCCCAGCUGCUACUGGGAAUCCUGGAGCACUUUAUCCCCAGUUGCUAAAGUUUGACUGGGGUUUCUGAGAACUUUUCCACUCUGAAACAGGGUACAGCUCUUUCCAGGCUGGUAUUGUCCCAGCUGCCUCUCUAGCUACUGACUUUACGAAGGAACUUGUCUCUCAGGCCUAGCUCUUUUUAACUUGUCCCAUGAAUCUGGGACCAAGCAACAAGUCCAAAGACUGUUCCUGGGAUCCCCAAAUAAACGAACCAGGACACCGUUCCCAAUGGAACUGACACACUUUGUUUUUUGUUUUUUUUCUUCUUCUCUGGGCUAGUCUGUCAUUACAUCAAACUUACGAUGAUAAAAUUAAUAAAAAAAAACAAAUGAUAUAGGGAAACGUACAGGAAGUCGUAUUAACACAAUAACCUAGUUAUUGUCUUCCCAUCCCCUUAUAAAUAACACAAAAUAUCUCCCCUGCUUGCAGAAUUGCAUUACACAAUCUGCACAUAUAAUGGGCACCGGGUGACUAAAACAUAAGGAUAAUUCUGGGACCUACGUAAAGUGUCCAUCUUCUGCUCCCAGUGAUGGUGACUGUCACACGUAGUCAUUUUUGCUUUGACCCUAGGCCGCAGUUAACUUUAUGAACCUGCUUAACGUUCUUCAAUGUGACCCUUUUUCUUUAACACCACAGUAAUAGUCAGGUUAUGCCCCUUGUGUUUGACCUGGUUUCUGGUUCUCCUGACUCUACCAUUCAAUGAAAUAUCUCCAAGCCUAUGUAAAAGUUGGCAAAACCAUCUGACGCUACUAGUUUCCUGUAUCUUGUGUAAGCACACUUACCAUUGAGAUGAGGUCUUUCGUUGCUGGCUGAGCCUGGUGGGAUGUAAAUUUAGAACACUACCCGUUGGUGUAGUUCCUCAUGACCUGUUAUCAGCCAAAUAUGUUGUCCUUUUAUUCAACUGACAACCCCUAUGUCAUGUGUAACAGUAGCGCCUGUUCUGUCUUCUUUAUUGAAAGACACAACCAGCACAUAUAGCUGGUAUGAACUCAUGUUGACAAUUGCAAUCAAUCACAACUGUUGGCUUUGUAGCCAUUUUUCACACUGUGUACACUACUGUCACCGUGCGUGAAUGGAAGGAUCUUCAAAGACUAGAUCUCUAGCUGUCUCAGAGCAUCUUCCUUGGGACUUCAUAAUUUGUACAAUGUUAUUGGAGAGGAGACUGCAACAGUGAGGGGUAUGAUUCUGUUGAGUGGACCAUAUUGAUGUCUAGUCUGUUUUAUGGAUCAACUUGUGUAUAAAGUCUACAAAACAACUCUCAAAUGUUGUCUGUAACAUGACAGGUGCACUUUAAUGUGAAGAGGGGGGAGUUAUCUAUACAUCGUUGUUUUUACUUUUACAUUCCUCUGUACUAGCUAAUACAUGUUUGAGAUUCGACUAUUAGAACUGUUCCUCUCACAAGCCAAUCAAUCUUCAGUAUAGGCUUUUAUAGCUUAUAACCAAGUGACUUUGUAGGUCAGUGGAACCCUCCUAAACACCAUCCUCACAUCUACAGCACAUGUACUGAGAUUUGUCUGGCAAACACCAUACUUAGCCAGCAGACCAUAUAAAGAGUAAUGGGUCUGCUGUUUGGGUACCACUUAGCAGGCAAUGCAGUUUGACGUCAUCAUGUGGUUGCUGCAUCCAACUUGGGGGAAAGUACUGCCGGCUAAGACCAACUGACUAGAGGUGGGGUGCAUGCAACUCCCACAAACUCUAUACAGAUCAUAUACUCUACAGUGUUAAAGGGAGUCUCUGGAUUAACAUCUCCUAAUGCAGUGAAAUAUAACAGUAAUGUUGGUUACAUAACUGAAGUCUUGCAUUGCUUAAGGACAUUCUAUCAGUAAAUGUGAAUCUAUAUUAUGUAAGGGAUUUCACUAUAUAAAAUCCCUUAUUAAUGGGUAAUCUAACGAAGUAUUGGUGGUGGGUCCAAACAUUGCAUUGAAAGACCUGAGUAAGGUUAAAGCAGUUGGGAUUUAAAAUAUUGCUUAUAGGGCGUUAAGGGAACAAGAAGCUAAACUGAUGACAUGGGACUAUAACCAUUUCAAUAGGGGUGUUAUAAACUGAGGGAGGUUAUACACAAGUUUGGACAUCGCUGACUUGUUGCAUUAGUGUCUGUAGCAGCAAUGCGUGAUGACACUGCACUCAGUAACUUUCCACUGACUAGAGUCGGCGCAGUUAUCUGUGAAACUAUUGUGUUCUUUUGUUUAUGCCCUAAGAGGAAAUACAUGACAGGCUCACACCCUAACUCUGUCUGAAAUGUUCACUGAAACGUAAACUAGCCGGUUUCAGCUGCCUAAUGGCCCGUCUGUGAUCUCAUCACUCAGGGCCAUCGAUUUCAAGUUCAUGGCCGAUUAGAACAGGACUGGACAUGUAGCUGCACACAGAGGCCUUUAGAAUAGUCUAACAAAGGGCUGUAGAUGACUGAUUCUGUCUUAUCAUCUCUGUCCUGAGAUUGCUGUAAAGAGAAAUUUGCAAAAUUCAAAUGCAUCUUAUGAAAAACGUGUAGAUCCGAAACUAAAUUUAUCCCUCCCCCUUAUUGUGUUAUGUGCCUUGUAAAUGAGGAACCCAAUAUCCACCUUUUGUUUAUCUAUUAAUACAGAGAAGAUACAGCCUAGUAUAUAUUGGUGCCAAAGCUACAUAUUAGAUUUUAUAGACCAUGUUAAUCAUUCAGUUCACGGGAAAUCUUUCACCCUGGCCGCUUGCUAGAAGUAUGACCUAGGACAGCAGAUCACAACAAUAUUAAGGUUUUUGAGUCUAUUGCAAUGCAUUAAACUGGCACCUCAGCUCCUACAUCUCAUCAGCUGUCUCUUGCAUGCAGUGACGCGGUCUACAUCUAUUAAUCUGUGUUGGACCAAAGGCAUAGUUGUGUAUGAAUCUGCAAUUUUUAUUUCUAUACUGAGAAGCCACUCGCUGUUUUUAUAGACUUUGUCUGCUGGUGGGGUUUCAUUCCUGGGAACAGCUUCCCAAUGGUUUUAUUUAUUUAAAAGCACUUUUAUAUUGGGCUUUAUUACUUUUCUGCAUAUAAUACAGCAGGGUGUGUUGUAGAAUCAUUCUCUGCUGUAUCACAAGGUGUUCUCAAAGUGUUUUUUAUUUGGCAGAUAAUCCCAUGGGUGAGCCAUAUACCUGUAAGAACACUGUCCCUGUUAAAUAAAUGGCACUCCCCUCUGUAAGAAUUAACACAAUGAAGCUUUGAAAUGCUGAAAUAAUGCAUUGCAUGUUGGUCAUGGGGCUCUCAUCCUUACAUUGCACGCACUGACAUGGCUUCCAUACAACACACAAACUUGCACACAUGCUGACUUUGCAUGUACAGUGAGAGAAAGUAUUUGAUCCCCUGAAAGAAAUGAUUGGUCAAUCGCUAUUAAAAUUUUUAUAGACCGAAUUAAAGGAAAAAAGUCAGUUAUAAAUUGAUUUGCAUGUCAAUGGGUGAAAUAAGGGGGAAGAGGGUAGAGAAUCUUAGUGUUUUGCACAAGGUGUCCAAAGCCAGUAUUGGCCAUAUAAACUCCAAAGGCCAGGACUGCAUGUGCACAGCUCUGAGUAAAGCUACAUAUAAGCUGGGAGCUGAACCACCAAACAAUGAUAUCUAAACCAAAUAAUGUUAAUGCAAAACAGAAGUCUGUGUGCGUGCAUAGAUUGGUCUAAAUGAAGGACCCUGAGAGAAGGCUUUCACAUUAAGUGAGGGGGGCCAGGGCUGCUCUGAAAAAAGUAGGUGACUUAACCUGGAAUGUAACUAAAAUCUAAUUUGGAACUAGAACAAUUAAUCUUAUUUUACGCACACUGACUUUCUAAACACAUUUUAUUGUAGUUUAAAGAACCAUUGCUCUCAGUAUGGCUGUGGAGUUCUGGUAUACACUGACACAAUACAUAGUGCCUACCUAGACAAGGACACUUGGGAUACAUAAGGGAUCUGGCCCAAAAAGAGGCCCUUUACAUCCUGAAUAGGGCCACUUGAGGGCUAUUGGUCUGUUAACAUGGAAUAGUAAGUGGUUGUCUGUGAUAAACUUUGUGCAAUGUUGUAACACAAUGGAAUCUGCUGGCUUUGUAUAAUUUCAAUAACUCUAGUUUUGUGCCUUUUGGGUAUUUUGUGUUGUCAGCUGUUUUAUAAUAAACCUCUACAUCACUUUCUUUUCUCUCUUUGUAGUUAAAGCUGGAGGAAUGCGUGUUACAAAAAAGCAAGCUAGUGACAGUGGAGCCCCAGAGAAACAUUUGAAGAAACCUGUUGUAGAAAGGCCAAGGUACAUUCUAAUGCAGCCUGCAUUGGCUAUCUCUUUAAAGGUUUCUU